CGCCACCUGGAAAGGAUCCAAUGAGAGGCGUUGCUGCGCUAGAGGGGGCUCAAGCCUUUUGGCCGUUGAGCGCCUCCCGGAAGUGCUCUUUGGUGGUCCGCCGUGAGACCAUCGACAAGCGUUUUUCACUUCUCUCUCUUUGAUUGGUGGCAGUUUGGCCUCUGGCAUAGCAGUUAAGACUCUACCUGGGACAUCUGCAUCAGACAUCAGCUUCCCUUCUGAUUCCAGCUUUCUCCUAAUGUGCACCCUGGCAGGCAGCUAUGAUGACUCAAGUAGUGGAGUCCCUGUCAGCCAGUGCUUCACCUACAGCUGCUGCAAGAUGAUGGUUGGGCUGGGUGUCUGCAAGCUACAUACAUUUCACACCUUUCCCUGACAGAUGACUUCCAGUAAGAUUGUGCCUACAGGAGGAACAGGGAGGAAAUCAGUAGGUGGAACAAUGGAAAGUAUUGUUUUUCUUCACUUUUACUUUGCUUCUGGCAUCCAAGGGAAUGGCUAUGUCCUGUACAAAGCCCACAAUCAGUUAAAGCUGUUUUCUCAAACCCCCAAUGUGGCCUCGUAGUAGUGGCCUUGCUUUUGAGCUCUGACAAUACAACCUUCUCUCUCUUAUGUAUACCAGCUUUAAGACUGGUAGCCACUUGCAGUUAGGAGUUUUUAUUUUAAUUUCACUUUCCCCUUUUGCUCUUCUACCCCCAUUAUCUGUGUAACCAUUUCUCUGUAGUAACUGGUGUCUGGUUAAAUUACUUUGAAUGAUUUCUGUUUUCCCACAUGGGAAUCUGACUGAUUAAAGAUGCAGAUGUGUA